UCAUCAUCUUCAAAAUAGAAAGACCCGCUUAAAAUCUAAACCCCAAGUUUUGUUCUUGAAUUUUUAAAAUUCUCUAAGGUGAACAAGUGUAUAUUCGAGGAAGAAUGGUUUGCAUUGGCUGAAAUGUAUUUUGGAUGUGCUCAUAGUGUUUAUGCAGAAGAUUUAGGAUUCAGUUUCAUUUUUAAGUAUAGGAUUCAGUUUCAUUUUCAAGUAUAGGAUUCAGUUUCAUUACCCUCCCCAGACCCCACUUUGUGGGACUAUACUGGGUAAUUGUUGUUGUUGUUAAAAUUUCGACCUCAGUGCUUUCUUCCUAAAUCUUAAGCUUUUUAAUUCAGAAAUCGAUAGUCACUCGCACCAGCAACACUAAGCACUCAGAGUUGAAAGCUCCCCUGCUCCAGACAUUGGUUCUGGCCACAAUAGUUGCAGCGCCAGAUCAAACGACGGUGCUAAUAAGUACAAGUUCACGGCUCCUGCUAAGCUUCCGAUCUCUAGGUCCACCUAUACCACUAUCACUCUCGGGUCUCGAAAGUUUUUUAUCAUUCUUUAAGUAAACUCAACCUCCAAGAAUCA
rnacentral:lncRNA from 1 species